rnacentral:rRNA from 1 species
UAAGGAAUAUUGGUCAAUGGACGCAAGUCUGAACCAGCCAUGCCGCGUGAAGGAUUAAGGUCCUCUGGAUUGUAAACUUCUUUUAUCUGGGACGAAAAAAGGCGAUUCUUCGUCACUUGACGGUACCAGAUGAAUAAGCACCGGCUAACUCCGUGCCAGCAGCCGCGGUAAUACGGAGGGUGCAAGCGUUAUCCGGAUUCACUGGGUUUAAAGGGUGCGUAGGCGGGCAGGUAAGUCAGUGGUGAAAUCCUAGAGCUUAACUCUAGAACUGCCAUUGAUACUAUCUGUCUUGAAUAUUGUGGAGGUAAGCGGAAUAUGUCAUGUAGCGGUGAAAUGCUUAGAUAUGACAUAGAACACCUAUUGCGAAGGCAGCUUACUACGCAUAUAUUGACGCUGAGGCACGAAAGCGUGGGGAUCAAACAGGAUUAGAUACCCUGGUAGUCCACGCCCUAAACGAUGAUUACUCGACAUUUGUGAUACACUAUAAGUGUCUGAGCGAAAGCAUUAAGUAAUCCACCUGGGAAGUACGACCGCAAGGUUGAAACUCAAAUGAAUUGACGGGGUCAUAGCUGUUUCCUG